rnacentral:rRNA from 1 species
UACGGAGGGUGCAAGCGUUAUCCGGAUGCACUGGGUUUAAAGGGGGCGUAGGUGGGUUUGUAAGUCAGUGGUGAAAUCUCCGGGCUUAACUCGGAAACUGCCAUUGAUACUAUAGAUCUUGAAUAUCCUGGAGGUGAACGGAAUAUGUCAUGUAGCGGUGAAAUGCUUAGAUAUGACAUAGAACACCAAUUGCGAAGGCAGUUCACUACGGGAUCAUUGACACUGAGGCACGAAAGCGUGGGGAUCAAACAGG